rnacentral:rRNA from 1 species
UGGGGAAUAUUGCACAAUGGAGGGAACUCUGAUGCAGCGACGCCGCGUGAACGAAGAAGGCUUUCGAGUCGUAAAGUUCUUUUUUAUGGGAAGAUAAUGACGGUACCAUAAGAAAAAGCCCCGGCUAACUACGUGCCAGCAGCCGCGGUAAUACGUAGGGGGCUAGCGUUGUCCGGAAUCACUGGGCGUAAAGGGUUCGCAGGCGGAAAUGCAAGUCAGGUGUAAAAGGCAGUAGCUUAACUACUGUAAGCAUUUGAAACUGCAUAUCUUGAGAAGAGUAGAGGUAAGUGGAAUUUUUAGUGUAGCGGUGAAAUGCGUAGAUAUUAAAAAGAAUACCGGUGGCGAAGGCGACUUGCUGGGCUCAUUCUGACGCUGAGGAACGAAAGCGUGGGUAGCAAACAGG